GUUGGUCAGGCUGGUCUCGAACCCUUGACCUCAGGUGAUCCACCCGCCUCAGCCUCCCAAAUUUCUGGGACUACAGGUGUGAGCCGCCAUGCCUGACCUGAAUCCACCUUCUCAAAAGUAACUUCCAUUCGCUUUGUCCCUGACAGUCUGCUGGUGACCAUGAUUUCUAAGGCUCACUCAUGGGACCAAAGGCCAGAAGAAAGGGAGGAGGGUGGUAACCAGAUAAACUUUGCAACCCCUUUGAUAUGACCUUUUGGGUGAGAAUUUUUAUGAAAAGUAAUAUAUACUUCUACUAUAGAUCUACCUCUAGUUUCAACCUCUAGUUUUAACACUGAUUUUUUUCCCUUAAUUUCCAGAAGCAUGAUAUAAUAUCUUUUUCAAAGAAAGUGGGAAGAAUGUCCACAGAUGUUAGCAGAAGACAAUUAUGCAGGGAAAAUAUUUUCUCAAAUUAAAAUUUAAAACGAAAGUUUGCAGGGAAUGCAGUGGGGUUCGGCAUUAGGGAGAUAGGAGAUGAUAAAAAUACAUAUUAAAUAAUUUGUAGCCUGAUAUGCUUUCUAUGUAGAUUGCUUACAAUUAACAUGAAAUAAGCAUUUCAUUCCUUAAACAUGCAUUUGGGAGCCAGGCUGGAGGCACAGUUUUGCACCAGAUGCUCUGUAUCCAGAUAGCAGAAAUGACUAACAGCACUGGUAUCCAUCAGUCCCAGAGCAGAAGCAUCUCCAGAGGGGGACAUCUGUAAAUCCUGAAUCUGAUCACCUCAUCAUCAUUAGGCAAUGGAUAGGAUAAGGCUUCAUGAAGAGAAUUUUGGUGGCUUUAGAUAGUUAAGAAAGUAUAUAUAGGAAAAAACUGGAAAUCAUGUCCAAGAUUUUUUUUCUAACUCUUUAUCCUGGCAUUGCUAACAUCUCACAACUAAAAUAAUCUUAACAGACACUUGAUUAGUUUUUAAAAAUGCAUUUUCAUGACAUGAGACUACAGAAAUUGGCAUUUUCUUAAGGUGUAGUUUACAUUUGACUGCUUACUAUGUCCAGGGCAUCCCCAAAUUGGGAGAGAUUGCCAAGUCAGUUGCCAUUUUGCCUGCCUUUUACCAAGGACUAGCCUACAGGUUCAGUUUUGCUCUUGACUUUGGCCCUGAAUUGAGAACUGAGUGGAAGUAUGGAGACAAAGCCAGCAGCUUUACUCAAAAAAUAUAUAUGAGUCUAGUAUUUUUUUGUUUUUGAAAGACAUGUUACUGAGACCGACCCAGUCAGGGGUCACUGAAGAUUGGGUUAAAUAAAACAAUAAUGUUAUUCAUGUGUUUGAAAUUAAUAUUUUAAAGACCCACACACACACUUUAAAAUGUAACUCGAUUUGCUGUAUAGGCCAGAGAAAUAUGGCUGUUACGAUGAAGGCAUAACUUGUCUGGUUCUUGAUUAUUUACACCAUUAGAGAAGAAUGCAAAUAUGAAUAGCUCAGAGUAGUUUAACUUUGUAGUUUUCUACUUUUUCUCAUGUCCAGUGUUCAGUUUCUUAUAAACCAGGCAUGAAGAGAAACAAAAAAUAAUUCUCCAGAUCAUGAGGUUGUCUUCAUCCUAAGCACAGAGGUAUAAUAAUUACAUUUCUCAGAAGUUCCCCUUCUGUUUAGAGUCUCAAGGGCAAUUGAGAUGUCAGUGAGGCUGUGAUUAAAUGUAUUGGAUAUUGGAGGAUUUUAAAUACAAACAAGUAUUACAGGUGUUACCACUGACCCUGAAGGUAAGAUUUACUAUGAAAAUUUAUAAUGCAAGGAAGAAUGAUCAUUUUCAAAAUAUACACUUUGCAACUUAAGUUGGCUGUCACAACAACAAAAUACUACAAACCAGGAUGUCUAAGAGCAGAAGUCUGUGGUUGCCAACUCUCAAGCCUCUUAGCUUAAUCCAAUCUAGGAUGCAUUUCCACUCUGCAACAAACAGUAUUUUUGCCUUAUUUGCAGAUAACAGUUUUAAUGCAGGUACUGCCCACAGAUUAGCUUUGAGCAGUGUCUUUUUGCUUUGGUUUUUUGAUUUGUUUUGUUUGUUUUGAGACUGAGUCUCACUCUGUCGCCCAGGCUGGAGUGCAGUGGUGCGACCUUAGCUCACUGCAACCUCUGCCUCCCGGGUCAAGUGAGUCUCCUGCCUCAGCCUCCCAAGUAGCUGGGACUACAGGCGUGAGGCACUGUGCCCGGCCAAGCAGUAUCUUUUUGCUUUAAGUAACUUACAUGUACAUUUGUUUUCCUUUUGAAUGUUUCUUUUUAGUUGCAAACUAAGAAACACUGAGCUCAGCAUUCAUAUAAUUGCAAACUCUGUCUUAAUUUCUCAGUUUGUUUUCUCAGAAAAAAUGCAAUUUCUUUUCUUUUUUAAAUUUAAUUUCUCUUUGUUUUUCUUUAUAAAGUGAAGAGUAGGUAGCAUGAAUUCCUCUUGCCCUUUGCUAUUUCAGUCUGGCAUCAGUAGCAGUUGUUGCUGUGUCCAGUUUUCAUCCAUGGAUUUUUCUGGGAUUGAAGAUGUGUUGAGUUCAAUGUUGAUUAUUUAAUUGGGCAGUAUAAGUAAAUUCACUGGCUCUCCUUCCAGUUUAGUGAUUACUGAAUAUCAUCCAUGACAUUUUGUAUUUCUUACACUUCUAGAAUGCUAGCCUGAAAAGAGAAGUUGUAAGUCAGGGACAGUAGUAUGCGCCUCUAGUCUCAGCUAGUUGGGAGGCUGAGGUUUGAGCCCAGGCCUUCAUGGCUGUAGUGCACAGUGACUGUACUUGUGAAUAGCCACUACACUCCAGCCUGGGCAACAUAGCAAGACUCCCACCCCUUAAGAAAAAAAGAGAAGAGAGAAAAAAAUAGAAUUUAUGGAGAGGGAGGCGGAUACUUGAAUACUUUGACCAUACUUGGCAUAAUAGACAUUUUGAGGGCUUUUUGUUUUUCCUUAAAAUUCUUCUGAAUCAGUUUUCAUUGUUUCUAGUCAUUAUAUUUAUCAUUAAUGAAUUCAUAUUCUGCUCUAGCCCCUAAAGAUAGUUUGAUACGCUAACUUUUGUUUUGCCUUUCUAGCUGCUAAGAUAGAUAAUGGUUAUUGCAAAAUGCACGUUUUUAAAUGGUCUCCAGUGUGGAUUGCUUCUGAGCUGCUGAUGGAUUGAAUACAUUGAGAAGGAAUGUGUCAUUUGGAAUCCAGGACCAGUCAGCAAGGAUAACUGCCUGAUUUUAUGAUUUCGUGACUGAUGCUGAAAUGGAAGCCAACCACUGCAGAAAUUUGGGGGAAAAUGAGAUCUGAAGAAUGCAAGGGGAAGUAGGAAUUCAUUUCUAGCAUUUCCAAACCUGCUUUAUCGUGUCUGCUCCACCACAGUCAGAGGAAAAGACUGAGUUCAUGGAAAUUACCAGCUAAGCCUUACAUCUGUCUUUAAUGUUUUUAGGAAAUAUACUGAAAAGGUAAGUGAGAUGUCUGUUUUAAAGAAAGGCUCUUACUAGGUACCUUAAAACCAGUUGUUUCCUAUUAGUAAAGAUGGGCAGCUUCUUUAUUCCUAGCUUCACAAAGGCUUUCCCCUGUUCUGUGUGUUUCUCAGUAUUGUGGAGAAGGUAGUUUCUGAGCAGGGUGGUGCUUUUCCUCUGCUUCUCAGCAGCUAAGACAGAAAUUGCACUGAAGUGUACAAAAUGCCAAUUUUUGUUCUGUUGUACUCAAAUCCUUUUUUUAAAAAAAUUAUUUCAGUUGAGUCUUAGUUUUAUUCCUCACUAUAUAGGAAAAAAAUAUUUAAUGCCUCAAAGUUCUAGUCAGCAUUACAUUUGCAUUACUCUUAUUUGCAGCAAAUAUGAGUAAAAUUAUAGGUUUUUAAAGGUCUCUAAUAACAUCCACCUAUAUUGGUUUUGUAGAUAAUCCAUAAAUUACCAGAAAUGAAUUAUUCUACAUUUAUUAUACACCCAUGUAAUAGGUAUAGUGCCAGGCCCUGGAAUAUACUAUUGGCAUCAUCUCAUGUGAUAAAAAGACACAUUCCGCCAUCCUGGAGCAUACAAAGGUAGACUAGCAUGUAGUUCAUGUGCUUAAGGAGUUCGUUUUUAUUGACGUGAUACAGACAGAAUUGCAGUUUAGGGAGUCAAAAUCUAAUAAAAUGAGACUAAUUCCAUUUUUCCUUUAAUACUAAUAACUAAUGUGUAAAUCUGAAUAGGACACAUUCUAUAUGAAAACUCUGUGUGUGCAUCUGCACUACUUUGUGUGUGCCAAGUACUGUUUUAAACUCUAAUCCUCAGAACUGUUCUCUGAAAUAGGUACUAAUACUAAAGCUUAUUGUUUAAGGAAGGCAGAAAUUAAGUAACUUGGCCUAAGUUUGCAUAAUUAUGAUCUGGGAUCAAUAUUUGAACCCAUACAGGCUGAUUGCAGAGCCUGCACUCUUAAUUUGAGUGUGAUAUUUAUGUGCAGUACCUGGCUAUAAGUACCCACAAAACAUUUCAAAUUCUUUAUAAAAUUUGCUUAGUUAAAAAAAAGUACCAAUUGCAUAGUAUGGUUAUAAGUCUGGUAGUAGUUAGGCUUUUUACGAGACAUGCCGCUUACUGCACCAAGGAGGCAACAAGGCUUUGAGAGCCCAAAAUUCCCUUUCUUCAGCUCCUGCUUCCAAGACAGUCAUUUUGCAUGAUAACCCUUUCCCCAAAAACACAGACACAAAAUUUAAAGAACUGGAACAGAGGAAGCAGAGCUUAUAGUAGUAUAUAUAUUUAGUACCCUGUCCCUUAGGUCCACCCCUCUUUCUUUAUUGAUUGUGGACAUUUUGUUUUAAAUGCUAAAUCAUGAGAAUAUAUGACUGCUGAGACUUUUCCAAGGAUUUUUAAAAAAACAGAUUAGGCUUUGUGCAGAAGUAAAGAAAAAGUGCUCUGAGAACCCCAGGUAGGUAAUUUACUUCCUAUUGUACAAUAGUUUGUUUGAAACCUCUUCACCUCUAUCCCUUAUUGUUUUAUACUCUGUAAAUCUGAUUUUACCUUUAAUAAACUUUUCUGAAGUGAGUGA